AUUGAACGCUGGCGGCAUGCUUUACACAUGCAAGUCGGACGGCAGCACAGAGAAGCUUGCUUCUUGGGUGGCGAGUGGCGAACGGGUGAGUAACAUAUCGGAACGUACCGAGUAGUGGGGGAUAACUGAUCGAAAGAUCAGCUAAUACCGCAUACGUCUUGAGAGGGAAAGCAGGGGACCUUCGGGCCUUGCGCUAUUCGAGCGGCCGAUAUCUGAUUAGCUAGUUGGUGGGGUAAUGGCCUACCAAGACGGCGACGGGUAGCCGGCCUGAGAGGGUGGACGGUCACAUUGGGACUGAGAUACGGCCCAGACUCCUACGGGAGGCAGCAGUGGGGAAUAUUGCACAAUGGGGGAAACCCUGAUGCAGCGACGCCGCGUGGGGGAUGAAGGCCUUCGGGUUGUAAACCCCUUUCGCUAGGGACGAAGCUUUUUGUGACGGUACCUGGAGAAGAAGCACCGGCUAACUACGUGCCAGCAGCCGCGGUAAUACGUAGGGUGCGAGCGUUGUCCGGAAUUACUGGGCGUAAAGGGCUCGUAGUGGUGUGUCGCGUCGUCUGUGAAUUCCGGGGCUUAACUCCGGGCGUGCAGGCGAUACGGGCAUGCUUGAGUGCUGUAGGGGUAGCUGGAAUGCCUGGUGUAGCGGUGAAAUGCGCAGAUAUCAGGCAGAACGCCGAUGGCGAAGGCAGGUUACUGGGCAGUUACUGACGCUGAGGAGCGAAAGCAUGGGUAGCGAACAGGAUUAGAUACCCUGGUAGUCCAUGCCGUAAACGGUGGGCGCUAGGUGUGAGGCCCUUCCACGGGUUUCGUGCCGUAGCUAACGUGUUAAGCGCCCCGCCUGGGGAGUACGGCCGCAAGGCUAAAACUCAAAGGAAUUGACGGGGGCCCGCACAAGCGGCGGAGCAUGUGGAUUAAUUCGAUGCAACGCGAAGAACCUUACCUGGGCUUGACAUGUACUAGAUCGCCUCAGAGAUGGGGUUUCCCUUUGUGGUUGGUGUACAGGUGGUGCAUGGUUGUCGUCAGCUCGUGUCGUGAGAUGUUGGGUUAAGUCCCGCAACGAGCGCAACCCUUGUCUUAUGUUGCCAGCAUUUGGUUGGGGACUCAUGAGAGACUGCCGGGGUUAACUCGGAGGAAGGUGGGGAUGACGUCAAAUCAUCAUGCCCCUUAUGUCCAGGGCUUCACACAUGCUACAAUGGUCGGUACAACGCGUGGCGAUACUGUGAGGUGGAGCUAAUCGCUUGAAAGCCGGUCGUAGUUCGGAUUGGGGUCUGCAACUCGACCCCAUGAAGUCGGAGUCGCUAGUAAUCGCAGAUCAGCAAUGCUGCGGUGAAUACGUUCCCGGGCCU
rnacentral:rRNA from 1 species